GUAGCCGGCCUGAGAGGGUGUCCGGCCACACUGGGACUGAGAUACGGCCCANACUCCUACGGGAGGCAGCAGUGGGGAAUAUUGCACAAUGGGCGCAAGCCUGAUGCAGCGACGCCGCGUGGGGGAUGACGGCCUUCGGGUUGUAAACCUCUUUCAAUAGGGACGAAGCGCAAGUGACGGUACCUAUAGAAGAAGCACCGGCCAACUACGUGCCAGCAGCCGCGGUAAUACGUAGGGUGCGAGCGUUGUCCGGAAUUACUGGGCGUAAAGAGCUCGUAGGUGGUUUGUCGCGUUGUCCGUGAAAUUUCACAACUCAAUUGUGAGCGUGCGGGCGAUACGGGCAGACUGGAGUACUGCAGGGGAGACUGGAAUUCCU
rnacentral:rRNA from 1 species